rnacentral:tRNA from 1 species
GCGGGCGUGGCGGAACGGCAGACGCGCUGGACUUAGGAUCCAGUGGGCAUCCCCCGUGCGGGUUCAACUCCCGCCGCCCGCA